rnacentral:lncRNA from 10 species
CUUUUUCCAAGCCUGUCUCAGUCUGUACUUGCCCCGUCGCAUCCCACUUUAUUACAAUUUUCACUAUAAGAAGGCAUCAAGUCUUUGCUUUAUUUGUGUAUUACAUAUCCUAAGGUAGGCUCUGUCUUUAUGGAUUAAAGACAUCAUGCAAGUAAAAAUGAAGAAGAAAACAGAGAAAAGAAGGAAGAAAGAAAAGAACAGUAAAGAGGAAGAAAGAAAGCAAGAAAGAAAAAAAUUGUAGAAUGACCCCCUCACAUUAAAAAAGUUUCAGCAAACAUUAUGAUGUCAAUGAGAACUUACAAGUGCUGCUCCUUGGACAGGACUGGGAUCU